rnacentral:rRNA from 1 species
CGAAGCGGCCAUACCGAGAGGGUAACACCCGGACCCAUUCCGAACCCGGAAGUUAAGUCUCUUAGGGAUUGGUUUUGGCACUGUUCUUUGUAAUGGAGCCUGCCUGAUGCUGCUUCAC